rnacentral:sRNA from 1 species
AUACGAUAUAUAUCUUCACUUAACAAAGUAACAAAAAUAAUUUUUAUAUAUCUUCAAAAGCAUACUAUAUACCAAUUUUUAGAAGAAAAAAUAUAUAUUUUAAUGUAAUUUUUAUUACUUUCACAAAAUGGUGAAUGUAAAGGCAGUAUAUGGAUAUGAGGAUGAAAAGGGUGAGACCGCGGUAGUAAAAUUUUGGGAAUGAUCUCUGUUUGUACCGAAGUUGUAACAAUAAUUAUUAAGGGGUUUGGGGAGAACGGAGUAGCUUCUUUAUUAAUGACGAACGAAAAGACAAUAAUUAACAGAACGGAAAACCGUAAGUACAGAACGGAGAACCGAAAGUACAGGUCGGAAAAUCGAUAUUAAUGGUCGGAAAACCAGAAAAUACAGAACGGAAAACCAGAAAAUAAGAGAUAAAGAGCUAGGCAGCAAUUCUCUCUUAAAUCCUCUGAGUGGUGACUUAGGUUCUGGAUCCCUCUUCUUAGUAGUGUCUCCUCUUAUUUAUAGGCAAGAAGCUGAUCUAGGGUUCUCUUAGUCUCUCUUGCGAUUUCUCCGUUUUGCCCUUCUAAAUUUAUCGGGCUGGGCCAAGCCGUGAUGGGCUGAGCUGUGAUGGGCCGAGCAGUCAUUCUGAUGGGCCGUUGUUUUGAUGGGCCGUUCUUCCUUGUUAGUAGCUUUCUUGACUUGUUCUAUUUGUGUUUGGGCCGAAUUGGGCAUGGAGGGCAAAGCCCGUAUCCCACAAUUAGUCCCCCCCGAGUUCGGCGAGAGAAGGUUGCUUGCGAUCGGCGAACAUUUUCCUGAAACCGGAACUAUGCCAAUUUGGCCCGAACCAAGGAAAAAUUCUUUGUUUGAGCAAGUGUGGAUUUUUGCAAGAGUCAGAGAAUCGCAAGAGGUGGAAAGAUAUAUGCUCGUUUGAGAGCUCGACGAUCUUCGAAGAUAGAUGAUUGUAGGAGAGCUUGAUUAUCUUCGAUGAUAGGCGCUCGUGGGAGAGCUGGAAGAUCUUUGAAGAUAGGCGCUUGCGGGAGAGCUUGACGAUCAUGAAGAGAGGUGCUCAUGGGAGAAAUUGAUGAGUUUGGAGAUAGUCGCUCGUGGGAGAGCUAUAAGAUCUUCUGAGAUAGGCGCUAGCAGGAGAGCCUGACGAUCUUGGAGAUAGGCGUCCGUGGAAGAGCUUUAAGAUCUUUGGAUGUAUGUGCUCGUAGGAGACGGAAGAGCUCGACGAUCUUGGACAUAGGCGCUCGUGGGAGAGCUAGAAGAUCUUUGGAGAUAGGUGCUCGAGGGAGAGCUUGACGAUCUUGGAGAUAGGCGCUCGUGUGAGAGCUUGACAAUUUCGGAGAUAGGCACUCGUGUGAGAGCUUGAAAAUUUUAGAGAUAGGCGCUUGUGUGAGAGCUUGAGGAUCUCAGAGAUAGGCGCUCGUGGGCGAGCUAGAAGAUCUCUGAGAUAUGCGCUCGUUGGAGAGGUUGAUGAUCUUUGGAGAUAGACGCUCGUGUGCGAGCUUGACGAUCUUAGGAGACAUGCGCUCGUGGGAGAGCUUGAUUAUCUUGGAGAUAUGCGCUCGUUGGAGAGGUAGAAGAUCUUUCGAGAUGUGCGCUCGUGGGGGAGCUAAAAGAUCUUUUGAGAUAGGAGCUCGCGGGAGAGCUUGAUGAUUUUUGGAGAUAAGCGCUUUUGAAGAGUUAGGUGUUUGUGCAAGAGCAAAGUUGUUUGAACGAGGAACGUCUCGGUGAAGAUACUAAAAUCGAUGCAAGGCGUGCUGGUCUUGUAUAAAAGAGUUCAAUGAGGUCAAUUUUGAAGGUGUACUUGGUGAGAUUAGUGUGAGGAGCAUGAAAGAUAAAAGAGGUCGGCCGUAGAGAUGUUUAGGCGAGAUCGAUGUGAAAUGCGUAAAUGUGAGCACGAGGUAUUUGAGCUUGGCUACAAUUUUCCGUUGAGGCCGGCACGAAUUGCGUCAAGGUCGCAUGAUAUGCGUCGAGGUCGGUGCAUGUUGGAUCGUGCGCAAUGUGAGUCGAGGUCGGCACAACGCGUGUAUUCUCGGCAAGAAUCUUGCGUCGAGGUAGGCAGGUGAUCUAGUUCUUACAUGGGCUAUGAGUUUGAAUCGCUAAGGGAGUUCGGCGGGAAAGGAGUCGGUGAAUGAGGUCGGCAAUGAGUUCAGGGAGAAUCGUUGCGAGAUUUACUCCGAUAUGUUGCAAGUUUGCGAGACAGCCUAGCUUUGUUCUUCUACAGGUUUGCGGGAAUGCUUGACUCUGAUUUGGUGGGAGUUUGUCGAGCUGUCAACAUUUGUUCUUCUAGGAGUUUGACGAGCUAUGUAGCUCUGAUAUUCUACGAAUUUGUUGAGAUGCCUAGCUUCAUGCUUCUAGGAGUUUGUCGAGCUGUGUAGCUCUGAUUCUCUACGAGUUUGCUAAGAUGCCUAGCACCGAAAUGCUGUGAGUUUGCCGAGCUGUGUAGCUCUGAUCCACUGCGAGUCUGCAAAGAUGCAUAGCAACGAUAUGCUGGGAGUUUGUCGAGCUGUGUAUCUCUGAUCCACUACGAGUUUGCUAAGAUGCCUAGCAACGAUAUGCUGGGAGUUUGCGAAGUUCCCUAGUUAGAUCUUUUGCAUGUUUAUGGGAAUGCCUAGCGUUGGGUGGAGAACGAUCGGGGAUAAGUUUUGUUUGAUGCGAUGGAUCAGGUCAACAAGAUGGUUCUGUUCCAUGUGAUGGCUUCGUCUAGUGAGAAGGUUCGGUGGAGGCUGAACGUUUUGUAAGUGAUAGAUGUAGUGUGGCAUCGCCAAAGGUGUAGCUCGAUGCGAUUAUUGAUGCUUAGCAAGAUUGGAGAUUAGUUCGGCGAUUUGAUGAGGAUUACUUUGUAGCUUAGUGAAGAACGCUCAAUCGUUUGCUUCGGGGAUGGGAAUGCUUUGUAGUUCGCUGAGGACUGAACGCUCCGUAUUUUAGAGCUAGAAACGCUUGUUGGUUCUGCGAUGAACGCUUGGUAAGUAACGCUCGCCUGUUAGGCAAGGAUUGAACGUUGGAGGUUUUUGAGCUAGGAACGUUUGAUAGUUUUGUUAAUAAAGAACGCUUGGUGAGUAAUGCUCUGCAAGGAACGCUUGGCUGGGAACACUUGCUUU